UACGUAGGGGGCAAGCGUUGUCCGGAUUUAUUGGGCGUAAAGAGCUCGUAGGUGGUUCGGUAAGUCGGAUGUGAAAUCUCCAGGCUCAACCUGGAGGGGUCAUUCGAUACUGCCGUGACUAGAGGUCGGUAGGGGAGUGUGGAAUUCCUGGUGGAGCGGUGAAAUGCGCAGAUAUCAGGAGGAACACCGGUGGCGAAGGCGGAUCUCUGGGCCAUUACUGACGCUGAGGAGCGAAAGCGUGGGGAGCGAACAGG
rnacentral:rRNA from 1 species